rnacentral:rRNA from 1 species
GAUCCUGGCUUAGGACGAACGCUGGCGGCGUGCUUCAUACAUGCAAGUCGAACGAGAAUCUAACUUCGGUUAGAGGAAAGUGGCGGACGGGUGAGUAAUGUGUAGAGAAUCUGCCCUUUAGUGGGGGACAACAGUUGGAAACGACUGCUAAUACCCCAUAUGCGCGUACUUGAGAUAGUAUUCGUGAAAACUCCGGUGCUAAAGGAUGAGUCUGCAUCUGAUUAGCUAGUUGGCGGUGUAAUGGACCACCAAGGCGACGAUCAGUAGCUGGUUUGAGAGGAUGAUCAGCCACAAUGGGACUGAGACACGGCCCAUACUCCUACGGGAGGCAGCAGUAGGGAAUUUUGCGCAAUGGGGGAAACCCUGACGCAGCAACGCCGCGUGAUUGAAUAAGCCCUUCGGGGUGUAAAGAUCUGUCAGUGGGGACGAAACUUGACGGUACCCACAGAGGAAGCAUCGGCUAACUCCGUGCCAGCCGCUGC